rnacentral:lncRNA from 1 species
GCUUUCCUUUCUAAAGCUCCAUCAAUAAAAGUUCUAUUCUCUAUAGUAAUACCAAAUGGAUUUUUGCUACACUUUUCGGUGCUUCAUUUCCUUGUUUAUAUGCUGUUACAUGUGUAGUUGAGCCUGUUUUCUGUGUUCUAGGUGGUUAAUCUUGUUUCAGUGUAAUACAUAGUGCCACUUUUCUCAUUACAAAUUAUUGUUUGCUGGAUAUAUUGUUGGUUCUACACCCAAUUUCAAAUACUAUAGUUUUUGUCUUCUGUAGUGUUGCUAUGUAUAUAAACAUGUAACUCCUUUUUUGGAUCUAUGUUUUCUGUGUACUACUUUCUAUUUAUAAACUAAAUGACAAUGUCAUAUAUUUUAGGAUGUAAACUCAUCAUAAAUAUAAUAUAUAAUAUAUACAUUCAUGCCUUUCAAAAAAAAAAAAAAAAUCCAAUCGGAAUGUAAGAAACCUCUCUGCUCUGUUUUAGGUGCUCUCCUGCCUCCCAGAUAUUCGAGAAAAAGUCCUUCAAUAGGGAAAAAAAAACCCAACUGGAAGCUCCGUCUCGAGUGCUCUCCUUCCUCUCAGAUUUCAACAAAAAAAAAAAAACCAACCGAAAGAUAUGUCUCUGCUCUGUCUCAUGCUCUCCUUCCUCUCAGAUCUCUGAGAAAGAAAAUGAAAUGAAAAGAAAAAGAAUGAUCAAUCGGGAAAAGAUUUUAUCUUUUAUUUUUUUCCGUCUUCCCUUUGUUUUCAUUCAUUUUCCCCUACCUUUUCCAUCCUCAGCUGAUUAAACCUUCUACCUAGAUUAAGCUCUCAAAAACUCAAGGGACCAACUCAAACCGCCACAACUCGCAUGAAAUCCAAAUAAAAAACCUAACUGAAACCUAUGAAACCCCUCCAUUCUCUCUCAGGUGCUCUCCUUCCCCUAAUAUCUCCGAAAUAAAGAGA